GGCCCAUUGGUCAAGCGGUUAAGACGCUAGCCUCUCACGCUGGAAACUCGGGUUCGAUUCCCGGAUGGGUCACCA
rnacentral:tRNA from 1 species